AGGACUUCCCAGGUCGAUAUUGAAAGUUUUCCUACAGGGGUUAGUCCAACAAAAUAUCCAAUAUCAACUAUAGCAUACUAUCGGCUCAAAAAUCAACCUAGACACCAUGUCUAAUUUGAUUUAGGAGGGCAUUUUAACCUAAGCACCAUGCUUAAUUUAAAAUCCCUUGGAAGUAAGAUCAACAUUCCUAACUAAGCACCAAGCUUAAUUAAGAGAUAAAUGAAACUACUCCAAACCUAGACAUAUACUAAAGCAAAUAGAGGUAGCAUG
rnacentral:lncRNA from 1 species